AGUGACAAAGGGGACUUUCUGUAAAAUUAGACAUAUUUCAGGAGUCCAGAAGUUAGUACCAAUGUUUGCUUGCUAAGACAAGAAUCAUACUAAUUCAUCUAUUCUCCCUUGUCAUUUCAUUACUAGAGAAGUGCACUGUUGAACCAAGGAAAGAGCACCAUGCCUUCUAGUUUGAUUGCCCCUUGCCUCCUCCACCCACUUCUGUGGUGGCCAAGUAGGAUCUCAUAGAAGAAGAGAAGAGGGUUAGAAGCUGGAAUGGCCACAGAGGGUGAUGCAGAAAAGUAGGUGAAUUUGAAACGGAGUGGGAUAUGAUACCCUCAACUUGAGGAAGAUUCAUGCUGGCAACAGUUUGGAGGACGGAUUGGUGAAGAAGAGGCUAGGAAACAGAAACCCUGGUGACCUUGAGUCUUUUACUCCAUACAAGCCCCUACUGCUACAUCAACAACCCUGAGGACUGAAUUAGACAUCAGAAGGUUUUUUGAUGUACACUGCAUCUGAGCAAAGGUAAUCAGAUAG
rnacentral:lncRNA from 13 species